UACCAGCACCCCGAGUGGUCGGGACGUUUAUUGGGCCUAAAGCAUCCGUAGCCGGUUUUACAAGUCUUCCGUUAAAUCCACCUGCUUAACAGUUGGGCUGCGGAAGAUACUAUAGAGCUAGGAGGCGGGAGAGGCAAGCGGUACUCGAUGGGUAGGGGUAAAAUCCGUUGAUCCAUUGAAGACCACCAGUGGCGAAGGCGGCUUGCCAGAACGCGCUCGACGGUGAGGGAUGAAAGCUGGGGGAGCAAACCGG
rnacentral:rRNA from 1 species